rnacentral:sRNA from 1 species
GGAGUUAAACUUAAUGAUACGUAUCGCCCGCUUUAACGGUCUACUACUACUAAACGCAUUUUCGUUGCGCGGUAGACUGGUGAGCGGCAUUCAGCAUUAAGUCAGCAUCCAGUUAGAUAAAAAACCCGCGCCGUUGCGCGGGUUUUUUU